rnacentral:rRNA from 1 species
UACGAAGGGGGCUAGCGUUGUUCGGAAUUACUGGGCGUAAAGGGCGCGUAGGCGGCGUGUCAAGUCAGACGUGAAAUCCCCGGGCUCAACCCGGGAACUGCGUCCGAUACUGGCAGGCUUGAAUCCGGGAGAGGGAUGCGGAAUUCCAGGUGUAGCGGUGAAAUGCGUAGAUAUCUGGAGGAACACCGGUGGCGAAGGCGGCAUCCUGGACCGGCAUUGACGCUGAGGCGCGAAAGCCAGGGGAGCAAACGGG